rnacentral:misc_RNA from 1 species
AAGAUUUCGAGACCAUAAUAGUAAGAAAAAUAAAAACAUCACCAGUACAUUACUUAAUAUAAACGCCAGCGGUAUGUCUUUUAAAAGACGAGCAAGAGCAAAACCUUACAUGACGCAACACAAAGAGGCGGAGAGUUUCACCUUCAAAUAUAUACAGGGGUAAUUAUUCAAACCCAUAAAGGAAAAAAGAAAAAUAGCAGUUCAGCACCAGCACAAACCCAAGACUUCCAAUUAAUUUACUCCCUCAACUUGAUUGAAGACACAAGAGUCUACUGGAGCAUCUUCAGCUAUCUGAAGAGAUGAUAAAGACUGUGCUGCAAUAAAACCAGGAGAAAUUCUUGCAACCUCCCAGUUUCCCUCAUCAAAGUAUUGAUGGUUAAUAUCAUCCCUUACCCAAGUUUCAGAUGAAACCAUCCACUCGGAAUUUCCCCACUCAUUCGACAUGCAUCUGUACCCGCUUGCACCAGAAACCCAGUCUGCUCCUUCAACUGAAUAGUAUGUUGAAGAGUCUUGGCGCGGAAGCAUGGGUCUUCCUCUGCCCACGAAGAAGUCAAAACUGCUGUUAAGAUCCCACGUGUUCCAUCCUUCUUCCUUCUUUAGGAGUAGCUUGCAUGAAUCAUCUGUAUCUUCGCCAAGUAAAACCUGAAGUGCAACUGCUUCAGCAAUCGCGGCACCCUGUUCAUCAAGCCUUUGUUGUUCUUCUUUCUUCUUCUGCUUCUUCUUUUCCAGUUCAGAACGGAUGGCAGCUGAAGUGGCCAAGGCUUUCUCUAAGCGCCUCUUCUUUUUCUCAGCUUGUUUAAUUCGAUCCAACUCAUCCUUAACUUGCUUCUUCUUCCCUUUUCUAACAGCAGGUGCCAUCUUAGCACAUUCCAUUUUGACAACUAAUUAUGAAUCAGUAACACUUGAACCUACCGAAUUUUUCUUUGUUGUGGAUAUCUCUAAGACAAGAUCAUUCUCUCUAUAACUAAUUUAUUAUCUUUUCUUCUGUGCCCUGUUAUUAAUACUAUUGCCAAAAAAACAAAACUAUGCUAUUCAAUCUAAAGCUUUUGCUAAAGUUACACUUACACAAACUCGGGUCUAAAGGAAUACCGGAUUUUACGAACAAUACAGUCCCAGACAGAAACAACAGGAGAUUGAAGAAGAGAAGACUGGUAAGCACUCAUAGGCCCGUCACUCACCAUUCUUCCUAGUUUGCCACAAGCCUUGCAUUUACCCAUCUGACAACAACUAACAAACUACUAAGCCCUCUGAAAACCCAACAAAAUGAUGUCUAUACUUGUCUGCUAUGCAAACAACUCACAUGGCCUUCCUCCCUUCGAGAGAAAAUGGCCACAGGAAAAACUCUCCCAGCGAAAGUCAACUAGCAAUAAAAGAGUAUAAAAGAUCUAUAGAUCUAAAUCGCAAAAGAGAACACAGAAAAAUUGAUGUCCAAAGAAAAUUUAGAGAUAAAAAGAGAGAGAGAAGAU